CGUACGACUCUCGAUAAUGGAUAUCUCGACUCUCGCAUCGAUGAGGAACAUAGCAAAAUGCGGUACCUGGUGUGAAUUGUAGAAUCCUAUGAACCACCGAGUCUUUGAAUGCAAGUUGCGCCUGAGGCCAUCCGAUCGAGGGCAUGCCUGCCUGGGCAUCAUGC
rnacentral:rRNA from 1 species